UUACAAAGUGUUUUACAGAAAAGUUAACAAAACUUGUAAGACAGGCAUCCAUUCAGAGGAACGCGUUCUUCCUGUUCUGAGCUGUUCACUGGAGGUUCAUGUUUCAUUUCAGCCUCUGGGGGAAGGGGCGUGGCCCCCUGUGACGGGUUGGCUCUGGGGCCAGGCAGGGACAGUGACACCUCAGAAUGACUCCCUGGAGAGCCCCUCUGCCCUCUCCUCAACACACAGAAGACCCCUCUGCCUGCCCGCCUGCCCUACCAUGGGCACCAGCCUCCUGUGCUGUGUGACCUUCUGUCUCCUGCAGGCAGGUCCAGGGAAUGCUGGUGUCACUCAGGACCCAAAAUUCCGGGUCCUGAGGACAGGACAGAGCACGACCCUGAAAUGUGCCCAGGAUCUGGACCACUACUAUAUGUACUGGUACCGACAAGACCUGGGACACGGGCUGAGGCUGAUCCAUUACUCAACUGACACUGGCAACAUCAACAAAGGAGACGUCCCCAACGGGUACAGCGUCUCCAGAUCAAACCUCGAGAACUUCCCUCUCACACUGGAGGCUGCCACCCACUCCCAGACAUCUGUGUACCUCUGCGCCAGCAGUUACUCCACGGCACUGCACGGCCACCUCCUCUCUGCACAAAAAGGCAGGGGAGGCCCUGCACCCCGGGACUCAGCAGAGUCCCUUGCAGGCUCCUAGCACCUGGAGCCUUGGAGCCCUGGGUGCCAGGUGCCUGCAGCGUGACCCUCAGUGUGUGGUCUCGGCCGGCCCAGACCUGACUCCAUGGCCUUGCAGAUGUGUGCCCACCGUCACUCUCUGUCUUUCCUCUGCAGCUGCCCUGUGAGGAGAAAGAUGCUGCCCCAGCUCUGACUCGUAGCCAUCAGCCUGAGUCUGAGGCCUCCAGGAGGGAACGUUAUUGGUCACACAGGAGCUGGAGUGUCCCAGUCCCCCAGGCACAGGGUCACAGGGAGGGGCCAGGCUGUAGUUCUCAGGUGUGACCCAAUUUCUGGUCACCAAGUAUUUU